GUGGGGAAUUUUGGACAAUGGGCGCAAGCCUGAUCCAGCAAUGCCGCGUGCAGGAAGAAGGCCUUCGGGUUGUAAACUGCUUUUGUACGGAACGAAACGGUCCGGGUUAAUACCCUGGGCUAAUGACGGUACCGUAAGAAUAAGCACCGGCUAACUACGUGCCAGCAGCCGCGGUAAUACGUAGGGUGCAAGCGUUAAUCGGAAUUACUGGGCGUAAAGCGUGCGCAGGCGGUUUUGUAAGACAGGCGUGAAAUCCCCGGGCUCAACCUGGGAAUUGCGCUUGUGACUGCAAGGCUGGAGUGCGGCAGAGGGGGAUGGAAUUCCGCGUGUAGCAGUGAAAUGCGUAGAUAUGCGGAGGAACACCGAUGGCGAAGGCAAUCCCCUGGGCCUGCACUGACGCACAUGCACGAAAGCGUGGGGAGCAAACAGGAUUAGAAACCCGAGUAGUCC
rnacentral:rRNA from 1 species